rnacentral:rRNA from 1 species
AGUGGGGGAUAACACAUCGAAAGAUGUGCUAAUACCGCAUAUGCCCUGAGGGGGAAAGGGGGGGAUCCGCAAGGACCUCUUGCUUUCGGAGUGGCCGAUAUCGGAUUAGCUAGUUGGUGAGGUAAAGGCUCACCAAGGCGACGAUCCGUAGCUGGUCUGAGAGGACGACCAGCCACACUGGAACUGAGACACGGUCCAGACUCCUACGGGAGGCAGCAGUGGGGAAUUUUGGACAAUGGGCGCAAGCCUGAUCCAGCCAUACCGCGUGAGUGAAGAAGGCCUUCGGGUUGUAAAGCUCUUUCAGCCGGAAAGAAAUCACACUUAUUAACACUGAGUGUGGAUGACGGUACCGGAAGAAGAAGCACCGGCUAACUACGUGCCAGCAGCCGCGGUAAUACGUAGGGUGCGAGCGUUAAUCGGAAUUACUGGGCGUAAAGCGUGCGCAGGCGGCUUUUUAAGCCAGAUGUGAAAUCCCCGGGCUUAACCUGGGAACUGCAUUUGGAACUGGAAGGCUAGAGUGUAGAAGAGGGGGGUAGAAUUCCA